rnacentral:rRNA from 2 species
UUAAGCGACUAAGCGUACACGGUGGAUGCCCUGGCAGUCAGAGGCGAUGAAGGACGUGCUAAUCUGCGAUAAGCGUCGGUAAGGUGAUAUGAACCGUUAUAACCGGCGAUUUCCGAAUGGGGAAACCCAGUGUGUUUCGACACACUAUCAUUAACUGAAUCCAUAGGUUAAUGAGGCGAACCGGGGGAACUGAAACAUCUAAGUACCCCGAGGAAAAGAAAUCAACCGAGAUUCCCCCAGUAGCGGCGAGCGAACGGGGAGCAGCCCAGAGCCUGAAUCAGUGUGUGUGUUAGUGGAAGCGUCUGGAAAGGCGCGCGAUACAGGGUGACAGCCCCGUACACAAAAAUGCACAUGCUGUGAGCUCGAUGAGUAGGGCGGGACACGUGGUAUCCUGUCUGAAUAUGGGGGGACCAUCCUCCAAGGCUAAAUACUCCUGACUGACCGAUAGUGAACCAGUACCGUGAGGGAAAGGCGAAAAGAACCCCGGCGAGGGGAGUGAAAAAGAACCUGAAACCGUGUACGUACAAGCAGUGGGAGCACGCUUAGGCGUGUGACUGCGUACCUUUUGUAUAAUGGGUCAGCGACUUAUAUUCUGUAGCAAGGUUAACCGAAUAGGGGAGCCGAAGGGAAACCGAGUCUUAACUGGGCGUUAAGUUGCAGGGUAUAGACCCGAAACCCGGUGAUCUAGCCAUGGGCAGGUUGAAGGUUGGGUAACACUAACUGGAGGACCGAACCGACUAAUGUUGAAAAAUUAGCGGAUGACUUGUGGCUGGGGGUGAAAGGCCAAUCAAACCGGGAGAUAGCUGGUUCUCCCCGAAAGCUAUUUAGGUAGCGCCUCGUGAAUUCAUCUCCGGGGGUAGAGCACUGUUUCGGCAAGGGGGUCAUCCCGACUUACCAACCCGAUGCAAACUGCGAAUACCGGAGAAUGUUAUCACGGGAGACACACGGCGGGUGCUAACGUCCGUCGUGAAGAGGGAAACAACCCAGACCGCCAGCUAAGGUCCCAAAGUCAUGGUUAAGUGGGAAACGAUGUGGGAAGGCCCAGACAGCCAGGAUGUUGGCUUAGAAGCAGCCAUCAUUUAAAGAAAGCGUAAUAGCUCACUGGUCGAGUCGGCCUGCGCGGAAGAUGUAACGGGGCUAAACCAUGCACCGAAGCUGCGGCAGCGACGCUGAUGCGUUGUUGGGUAGGGGAGCGUUCUGUAAGCCUGCGAAGGUGUGCUGUGAGGCAUGCUGGAGGUAUCAGAAGUGCGAAUGCUGACAUAAGUAACGAUAAAGCGGGUGAAAAGCCCGCUCGCCGGAAGACCAAGGGUUCCUGUCCAACGUUAAUCGGGGCAGGGUGAGUCGACCCCUAAGGCGAGGCCGAAAGGCGUAGUCGAUGGGAAACAGGUUAAUAUUCCUGUACUUGGUGUUACUGCGAAGGGGGGACGGAGAAGGCUAUGUUGGCCGGGCGACGGUUGUCCCGGUUUAAGCGUGUAGGCUGGUUUUCCAGGCAAAUCCGGAAAAUCAAGGCUGAGGCGUGAUGACGAGGCACUACGGUGCUGAAGCAACAAAUGCCCUGCUUCCAGGAAAAGCCUCUAAGCAUCAGGUAACAUCAAAUCGUACCCCAAACCGACACAGGUGGUCAGGUAGAGAAUACCAAGGCGCUUGAGAGAACUCGGGUGAAGGAACUAGGCAAAAUGGUGCCGUAACUUCGGGAGAAGGCACGCUGAUAUGUAGGUGAGGUCCCUCGCGGAUGGAGCUGAAAUCAGUCGAAGAUACCAGCUGGCUGCAACUGUUUAUUAAAAACACAGCACUGUGCAAACACGAAAGUGGACGUAUACGGUGUGACGCCUGCCCGGUGCCGGAAGGUUAAUUGAUGGGGUUAGCGCAAGCGAAGCUCUUGAUCGAAGCCCCGGUAAACGGCGGCCGUAACUAUAACGGUCCUAAGGUAGCGAAAUUCCUUGUCGGGUAAGUUCCGACCUGCACGAAUGGCGUAAUGAUGGCCAGGCUGUCUCCACCCGAGACUCAGUGAAAUUGAACUCGCUGUGAAGAUGCAGUGUACCCGCGGCAAGACGGAAAGACCCCGUGAACCUUUACUAUAGCUUGACACUGAACAUUGAGCCUUGAUGUGUAGGAUAGGUGGGAGGCUUUGAAGUGUGGACGCCAGUCUGCAUGGAGCCGACCUUGAAAUACCACCCUUUAAUGUUUGAUGUUCUAACGUUGACCCGUAAUCCGGGUUGCGGACAGUGUCUGGUGGGUAGUUUGACUGGGGCGGUCUCCUCCUAAAGAGUAACGGAGGAGCACGAAGGUUGGCUAAUCCUGGUCGGACAUCAGGAGGUUAGUGCAAUGGCAUAAGCCAGCUUGACUGCGAGCGUGACGGCGCGAGCAGGUGCGAAAGCAGGUCAUAGUGAUCCGGUGGUUCUGAAUGGAAGGGCCAUCGCUCAACGGAUAAAAGGUACUCCGGGGAUAACAGGCUGAUACCGCCCAAGAGUUCAUAUCGACGGCGGUGUUUGGCACCUCGAUGUCGGCUCAUCACAUCCUGGGGCUGAAGUAGGUCCCAAGGGUAUGGCUGUUCGCCAUUUAAAGUGGUACGCGAGCUGGGUUUAGAACGUCGUGAGACAGUUCGGUCCCUAUCUGCCGUGGGCGCUGGAGAACUGAGGGGGGCUGCUCCUAGUACGAGAGGACCGGAGUGGACGCAUCACUGGUGUUCGGGUUGUCAUGCCAAUGGCACUGCCCGGUAGCUAAAUGCGGAAGAGAUAAGUGCUGAAAGCAUCUAAGCACGAAACUUGCCCCGAGAUGAGUUCUCCCUGACUCCUUGAGAGUCCUGAAGGAACGUUGAAGACGACGACGUUGAUAGGCCGGGUGUGUAAGCGCAGCGAUGCGUUGAGCUAACCGGUACUAAUGAACCGUGAGGCUUAACCUU